UCAGGAGUUCUUUUGCAAUUAAAGAAAAUUGAAUUACAGACACCAAUAAAACAUGGAUGGAUCAAUGGAUGUGGUGAAGGACCUCCGAGAAGCUGAGGCGAAAGGAGGAAACACGAACAAUUAUCAGCAGGAAAAGCCAGGAGGGACCAUGAAGCAACUUUCCCUUUCACAGCCUCCACUUUUGUCACUGAUUUAUAUGAUGGCAUUGUUGACCACCUUGAAAUUGUAAGAUGAAGUUUGAUUUAAAUCAAGAUGCAGGAAGUAGCAGCUCUGGCUCUGACAUGGAUUUCAAAACAGAAUGAUCCAGAAAUUGUUUCCAGCCGGGACCAUAGAAGCAAAAGAAGCCCAAACUGCAAAAUUUUACCCUAUGAACUUCGUUUUCAGUCAUAAGAAGCAAAUUUGAUAGGAGCUUUGCUUAGGACAGGAGGAAACAGACUGAGUUUAUAGAAGAAUAGUAUCAGAAAAACUUUAAGAGAUCAUUACUAGUUAAAAGUACAAUCCAAUGUCCAUGAUAAAAGAAUUUGUAGAAACAGAUGAACAGAAACUUCCAAAUGUUUGAAAUACAGAUCAGCGGCAUGCUGUUUCCUUUCAUUUUAUGUAUUUGUUUGCUUCUGUGGUUUAAGAAGACCACCUGAUCCUAGCUGCAGUGAGUGUUGGUGGCAAAGAGCUCCUGCCCUGGAUUUAUAUGUGAUACCAACUAGCUUAACAAAUGGUAAUCAGAUUGGAUGGUAAUAAGCAAUGCAUUUAGCCUCUUGUGAGAUAUUGACUCAUAUGAUAUUUGUGCUUGUAUUCAUUCAGGCUUACAAGUGACCUUGUGAUCAAUAGGCUAAAGGUCUAGCAUGUCAUUAUUGAUCUGCUAAGCUCUGCUAUUUGUAACUCCCCUGAGUAUGCCUUGCUGGUAUAUGGAUCGGUCCUUAUUCAUUAAACACUACA